CGGUGAAUAUGUUCCCGGACCUUGCACACACCGCCCGUCAAGCCAUGGAAGCCGGGUGUACCUAAAGUCGGUAACCGUAAGGAGCCGCCUAGGGUAAAACUGGUGACUGGGGCUAAGUCGUAACAAGGUACCC
rnacentral:rRNA from 1 species